UACGGAGGAUCCAAGCGUUAUCCGGAUUCAUUGGGUUUAAAGGGUGCGUAGGCGGAAUUGUAAGUCAGUGGUGAAAGCCUGCAGCUUAACUGCAGAAUUGCCAUUGAUACUGCAAAUCUUGAGUACAUUUGAUGUGGGCGGAAUGUGUCAUGUAGCGGUGAAAUGCUUAGAUAUGACACAGAACACCGAUUGCGAAGGCAGCUCACAAAACUGUAACUGACGCUGAGGCACGAAAGCAUGGGGAUCGAGCAGG
rnacentral:rRNA from 1 species